rnacentral:rRNA from 1 species
CCUACGGGUGGCUGCAGUGGGGAAUAUUGGACAAUGGGGGGAACCCUGAUCCAGCCAUGCCGCGUGUGUGAAGAAGGCCCUCGGGUUGUAAAGCACUUUCAGUGAGGAAGAACGCCUGGUGGUUAAUACCCAUCAGGAAAGACAUCACUCACAGAAGAAGCACCGGCUAACUCCGUUCCAGCAGCCGCGGUAAUACGGAGGGUGCGAGCGUUAAUCGGAAUUACUGGGCGUAAAGCGCGCGUAGGUGGCUUGAUAAGCCGGUUGUGAAAGCCCCGGGCUCAACCUGGGAACGGCAUCCGGAACUGUCAAGCUAGAGUGCAGGAGAGGAAGGUAGAAUUCCCGGUGUAGCGGUGAAAUGCGUAGAGAUCGGGAGGAAUACCAGUGGCGAAGGCGGCCUUCUGGACUGACACUGACACUGAGGUGCGAAAGCGUGGGUAGCAAACAGGAUUAGAUACCCCAGUAGUC